UACGUAGGGGGGCAAGCGUUGUCCGGAAUGAUUGGGCGUAAAGCGUCUGUAGGUGGCUUUUUAAGUCCGCCGUCAAAUCCCAGGGCUCAACUCUGGACAGGCGGUGGAAACUACCAAGCUGGAGUACGGUAGGGGCAGAGGGAAUUUCCGGUGGAGCGGUGAAAUGCGUAGAUAUGCGGAGGAACACCGAUGGCGAAGGCAUCCCCUGGGCCUGCACUGACGCUCAUGCACCGAAAGCGUGGGGAGCAAACAGG
rnacentral:rRNA from 1 species